UACGAAGGGGGCGAGCGUUGUUCGGAAUUACUGGGCGUAAAGGGCGCGCAGGCGGCUCUGAAAGUCAGAUGUGAAAGCCCCGGGCUUAACCUGGGAAUUGCAUUUGAUACUCUGGAGCUUGAGUGUGGGAGAGGAGAGUGGAAUUCCCAGUGUAGAGGUGAAAUUCGUAGAUAUUGGGAAGAACACCGGUGGCGAAGGCGGAUCUCUGGGCCUUACCUGACGCUCAGGCGCGAAAGCUAGGGGAGCGAACUGG
rnacentral:rRNA from 1 species